rnacentral:rRNA from 1 species
GUAGGUGGCAAGCGUUGUCCGGAAUUAUUGGGCGUAAAGCGCGCGCAGGCGGUUCUUUAAGUCUGAUGUGAAAGCCCACGGCUCAACCGUGGAGGGUCAUUGGAAACUGGAGAACUUGAGUACAGAAGAGGAAAGCGGAAUUCCACGUGUAGCGGUGAAAUGCGUAGAGAUGUGGAGGAACACCAGUGGCGAAGGCGGCUUUCUGGUCUGCAACUGACGCUGAGGCGCGAAAGCGUGGGGGAGCAAACAGGAUUAGAUACCCUGGUAGUCCACGCCGUAAACGAUGAGUGCUAAGUGUUAGGGGGUUUCCGCCCCUUAGUGCUGCAGCUAACGCAUUAAGCACUCCGCCUGGGAGUACGGCCGCAAGGCUG